rnacentral:rRNA from 1 species
UGGCGGACGGGUGAGUAAUGUCUGGGAAACUGCCUGAUGGAGGGGGAUAACUACUGGAAACGGUAGCUAAUACCGCAUAACGUCGCAAGACCAAAGAGGGGGACCUUGGGCCUCUUGCCAUCGGAUGUGCCCAGAUGGGAUUAGCUAGUGGUGGGGUAAAGGCUCACCUAGGCGACGAUCCCUAGCUGGUCUGAGAGGAUGACCAGCCACACUGGAACUGAGACACGGUCCAG